rnacentral:tRNA from 1 species
CGGGGUGUAGCGCAGGUGGUAGCGCACUAGACUGGGGGUCUAGGUGCCGCAGGUUCAAGUCCUGUCACUCCGACCA